GCAUUAGUAGCUCAGCGCUCAGAGCGCCGGUCUUGUAAACCGGACGCCGAAGGUUAAAGUCCUUCCUACUGCU
rnacentral:tRNA from 1 species